rnacentral:rRNA from 1 species
GAUGAACGCUAGCGGCAGGCCUAAUACAUGCAAGUCGAGGGGCAGCAUGAUUGUAGCAAUACAAUUGAUGGCGACCGGCAAACGGGUGCGGAACACGUACACAACCUUCCAACAAGUGGGGGAUAGCCCAGAGAAAUUUGGAUUAAUACCCCGUAACAUAGCGAUGUGGCAUCACAUUGCUAUUAUAGAUUUUUCGCUUGUUGAUGGGUGUGCGGCUGAUUAGAUAGUUGGCGGGGUAACGGCCCACCAAGUCUACGAUCAGUAGCUGAUGUGAGAGCAUGAUCAGCCACACGGGCACUGAGACACGGGCCCGACUCCUACGGGAGGCAGCAGUAAGGAAUAUUGGACAAUGGACGCAAGUCUGAUCCAGCCAUGCCGCGUGAAGGAUUAAGGUCCUCUGGAUUGUAAACUUCUUUUAUAAGGGACGAAAAAAGGCUUUUCUAGUCGUCUGACGGUACCUUAUGAAUAAGCACCGGCUAACUCCGUGCCAGCAGCCGCAGUAACAC